rnacentral:lncRNA from 1 species
AUGAAGAAAAGCCAAACAUGACAAGUGACGAAACGUGCCACAUAGUAAAAAGUCAUGUAAUUCAUAAUGAAUUUAGAAGUAAGGGUCCAGAUACAAACCUUGAUGUACUCCCUGUUCAGUCUAAGAUACUAAGAUAAAUUGAGAAAGGAAAUGGGGAAUGUAUCAAAGCGACAACAACCCGACCAUAGAGCAGACAACAGCCGAAGGCCACCAAUGGGUCUUCAAUGUAGCGAGAAACUCCCGCACCCGUAGCCGUCCUUCAACUGGCCCCUUAAAAUAUGUAUACUAGUACAGUGAUAAUGGACGUCAUACUAAACUAAAAUUAAAAAUCAUACAAGACUAACAAAGGCCAGAGGCUCCUGACUUGGGACAGGCGCAAAAUUGCGGCGGGGUUAAACAUGUUUAUGAGCUAUCAACCCUCCCCCUAUACCUCCAGCCAAUGUAGAAAAGUAAACUCAUAACAAUACGCACAUUACAAUUCAGUUCAAGAGAAGUCCGAGUCCGAUGUCAGAAGAUGGAACAAAAGAAAAUAAAUAACCAUAAUACCUAAAUAACAACAGACUACUAGCAGUAAACUGACAUGCCAGCUCCAGACCUCAAUUUAACUGAUUGAAAGAUUAUGUCUUCAUCAUAUGAAUAUCAGGC